rnacentral:rRNA from 1 species
CGCCUGUUUAUUAAAAACAUUGUUUUAAAUUUUGAAUUUAAAAUAAAACCUGCCCAUUGAUAUAAAUUAUUAAAAGGCCGCAGUAUUUUGACUGUGCUAAGGUAGCAUAAUCAUUAGGUUUUUAAUUGAAAUCUUGUUUGAAUGGUUAAAUGAAAUAAAUUCUUUUUUAUUUUAAAUAUUGAAUUUUAUUUUUUAGUAAAAAAGCUAAAAUUUUUAAAAGGGACGAGAAGACCCUGUAGAAUUUUAUAUUAUUUAUUUUAAUUAUUUUAAUUAAUUAAUAGUUAAUAAUUAAAUUAUUAAUGUUUUAUUGGGGCGAUAAUUAAAUUUAAUAAACUUUAAAUUUUUAUUUCAUUUAUAAAUGUAUUUUUGAUCUAUUUUUAAUGAUUAAAAAAUUAAAUUACCUUAGGGAUAACAGCAUAAUAUUAUUAAAAAGUUCUUAUUUUUAAUAUUGUUUAUGACCUCGAUGUUGGAUUAAAUAAAAUUUUAAUAAGUAGAUUUAUUAAGAAUAAG